rnacentral:rRNA from 1 species
GACGUAGGGCGCGAGCGUUGUCCGGAUUUAUUGGGCGUAAAGAGCUCGUAGGCGGCUUGUUGCGUCGGCUGUGAAAACCCGCGGCUUAACUGCGGGCUUGCAGUUGAUACGGGCAGGCUAGAGUUCGGUAGGGGAGACUGGAAUUCCUGGUGUAGCGGUGGAAUGCGCAGAUAUCAGGAGGAACACCGAUGGCGAAGGCAGAUCUCUGGGCCGUAACUGACGCUGAGGAGCGAAAGCAUGGGGAGCGAACAGG